rnacentral:lncRNA from 1 species
CCCGUCUCUCUCUGCCUCCUUCUUCUCCAGGUCCUGUAUGACGUCCAGCAGGACCUUGAUGGUGUUCUGGCUGGUCUCCAGGACCCCCUCCAUGCUGUGCAGCUGGGUCUGCAGGCUCCGGAUGUCGUGCAGGGGCCCGUUGGGGCCCAUCAGUUUCUCUGCUACCCAGGUCGGAUCCAGUUUACUCCUGGCCCCCGACACCAGCCCCCCCAGGAUCUCCUGCACCUGCCUCAGGGUGUCGGCCUGGGUGGAGGUCAGGGGCCCAACCGUGGGGCCCCCUCCAGAGCCAGAGCAGCCACGUGCCCCGGACGGGCACUGGCCAGGGGGGAGAGCUUGCUGGCUGUUGGGGGUGUUGGUCCCGGAGCAGAGCAUUUUAUGGAGGGCCCCGAGCUGAGCUCCUAGCUGAGCCUGAGCCUGGCCCAGGCAGGUGGGUCUGGAGAUGGCCUUGGUGGGCGAGGAACCCUGGUCCCCCUGGUUCCCUUUCAGAGGGACCACCAAGGGUGUUUGAGCUCUGUGUUUCAGAGAGCUGGCUCGAGGACAGGGCAGGGGUGACCCUGAACUUCCUGACCUCUCCUUCUCACUCGCCCGCCUGAGCAGGGGCGCCCGGCAGGCCGAGCCUGGGGUGCAACUCACCCCCUCUUUGCGUGGGGUGUACGGGGGAGGGGGCGGGGGUGGUGGUGGAAGUAUCCUCCUCUCCCCCCUACACUCCCACUCUAUCACCCUCUUGUCCUGAGCGCUGCAGUGUUGGGCCUGAGGUGGGGGGGUGUAGGGGGGUGCAGGGCGAAACGUGGAAGCGUAGAGGGGCACAGUUUUCGUUGGAGUUGCACAAGAUGGCGCCGUUGGAAGUGUAUGGUAGGAUUUUACCAUUGGAGACGGGGAGUUGCAGCUUUUUACAAUGGGAGAGGGAGAGGAGCAGUAUUUUAUUUGAAUAUGGGCGGAGUAGGAAGGUACUGCUGGAGGUUGGGAGGAGCAGGGUGGUACGGUCUGACAUGGGGGGUUCCCAGGUGGUAUGGUCUGAAUUAAGGAGAUGUAGGGAGGGGCAGUUUGGGCUGGGGGGUGGCAUGAUGUCACAGUUGGAGGUGGAGAUAUGAGUUGAUUUAAGGAAGAGCAGGAUAGGGCAGUUUGUGUUAGGAUGGUGCAGGGGGCUAUAUUUGGAGUUGGUGUUGGGGUGGGGCAAGUUGGGGCUGUGGAGGGGGCUAGAACAGGAUUUGGUUUUGGGUCAUGGCAAUUAGGGGCUGUAUAGGGGCUAUCGUUGGAGUUGGUGGUACGGUGGGACAAUUUGGAUUUGAGGCUGUGGUUGUAGUUAUGGCGGUGCAUGUUAGUUUGGGUGGGACAGUUUCAGUUUGUGUAGCGAGAGGUGGAGGGGUUUGAGCUUUAGAUGGAAGAACAGUUUGGGGAAGCACUGAUUUUUUCGGGGGAUAUGUACAGAUGGACCGGGGUGGGGAGGCGCAAGGCAGAACCACCAGUGGUGGUGUUUCACAAUAUGGAUGGGUGGAGGUUGGCACAGUUUUAGGUACGGAAGCAUAGAGAGGCACAGUCUGAGUUUGGGGGGUGGAGGGUUCCACAGUCGAGGGAGGUGGGGAGGCGCAGUGCUGCAUGGUGGGAGGAGGCGGGGAGGCGCAGAGACUGUCAGUUUGUGUUUGGGUGGUGCAGGGCUGCACAGUUAAGGGAGGUGGGGAGGUGCAGGGCUGCACAGUCGAGGGAGUUGGGGAGGUGCAGGGCUGCACAGUCGAGGGAGGUGGGGAGGUGCAGGGCUGCACAGUCGAGGGAGGUGGGGAGGUGCAGGGCUGCACAGUUGAGGGAGGUGGGGAGUUAGGAGGGGAGACACAGGGACUGUCUGUCUGUGUGGGAGUGGUACAGUAGGACACCUCCCUUCCCGGGUCACUGAUACCACGGUUCAUGCGCCAUCUCCUCCUCACUUGGGACAGAGUUGCACUCCCCUGGCGUUUAGAUCCCUCUCUCCCACAGGUCACAGAACCGCAGUAGCAAGGCUCUGCAGUGUGCCGAAGCCAAACUGGGUGAGGGGAAGAAGAAGAGUCACGCCUGGAAGAGUCCAUGUGAUUCCCAACAGCAGGGUGGAUAGCGUUAGCCUCAGCGUUAGCCUCGCUAGUCCUGAGGCAGUGGGGUUGGUCCACCAAUCCCUGUUUAGCCUUAGACCCAGGGCCGUUUCCAUCUAUAGAUGCAGGUUCUGAAAUGUGGUUGCGGGUAGUGUAGUACUCAUUCUUUUUAUCGUCCUGUUCGUCAUCCCCAUUCACCCCCACCGAGUCCCCCACAUUUCGGUUGCGCGUGCUGACGGCCGAGGGCGCCGGAGGCUUAGGCUUGGGCUUCUUGAGGCAGGAGGAGGUCUGGAUGGCCAUGCUGGUGCACUGCCUCCGGGAGAGAGGUAGUGUGAGGGAGCAAGGCCGUGGGGGCGAUGGUGGUGCCCAGCAGCGGCGCGUGGGCCCCGGGGUGAGCGGAUGAGGGGGCGCCCGAGCCAAAAACGCUGCCACUACCUCAAUGGUGUCUGCCAUAUCUCCUCGGACAGCCCCAACCACCGAGGCCUGGUUGGAGGACACCUCGUCCCCCAUUGACCUCUCUGUUAGCCAUCCCUGCGGGGCCAUGGGGCUUAUGGGGGUGUUCUUCCGCAGGGGGUGGGGGCUGUCACGCUCAGCGGCAGUCCUCUCGGAGCCUUUGGUUCCAGGGCCAGUGGUCCCGCUGCCGCUGCCAUCCUCCAAGUCUUUGAAGCGCACCUGGUGUGUGCGGUUGCGGCGGCGCUUGAGGCGGCUCUCGAUGUCCGGCGAGUCGCGGUUGAGCAGCACGGAGCGCACGGUCAUGGCGCCAGGCGGCUUGUCGGCUGUCUUGCUGUUGGUGUAUUGGCCAAUGAGCAAGUGAUUCGGCUCUUUGCUCACCAUGUCUCCUGUGGCGUCUUGUUCUUCCCCCCGACAUCCACAGUCCCUGCAGGCCGUUUGACGUGAUAAAAUCCUCUGUCAGAGAGUAAGGAGUAAUUCUAUUCUAUCUCAAUACAAUUUGUCUGUUGACAAUUCGUUUCUUCUCUAUGACAAUGGGAUACAUGUAUUGUCACAUUUGUUGAGCUGGAGUUCCAUCACCAAGCAGAUCUGGGGAGACAGCUGUAGCUUGUUGGUUUGAGUGAUCAUGGAGGUGAUUUGAGAUAACUGUCACACUGCAGUGCCGUCCGUCCUGCCAUCCCCCUUCUGCAGCACUCCAUAGGACUGGUCCUUUCUCGUGUGUGUGUGUGUGUGUGUGUGUGUGUGUGUGUGUAUGUGUUUCUCUGGCUAUCUGACUUCCUGAGAAAUGUAACCAAAGCCAGAAGGUUUGUACUUUGCUCAGACUAUGGAUAGAGAGAACUGUAUUCUGAGCUUUAACGUCAUAAAGUAAGUCUUCAGGGUGAACCGGAGUCUCAUAGUCCACAGAACUUCAUUUACUUAUAAUUUUCGUCCACUCAGCUUCCUGAUUUCCUUAUAAAGAGCAGUUCUAUAUAGCCGCAUUAAAAGUAUAAUAACGUCAGCACAUUAAACAUGGAGCAAGUGCCAACUUAAAGUAUGCCUCAUACAAAAUCUACAUCUAAAAGAGGACAUGUUAUUUCACAUUAAAUAAGUCAGAAGACCCAGAAGAGAGAGGUGAGCGUGAGAACAGGGCACACAGUUAUGUUGCAUGACUCCUGGAUGCACUCAGCUCCAACGUACCUCUAAUAACAUCCCAGGAGAUGGAAUCGUGACAGGGGCACUGUAUCUACCAGCGAAUAGGCACAGCUCCUCUGAAUACACCUUAUCCAUCCUUCCCAUCCCCCGAAUAUACAGGCUGGCCCUUCCUGUCCGCUUAGCAUUGUCCCAGGGGGCUGGAGGAAGAAUGGAUUGGUAAGCACUGUGUGACUCCCCAUAAUGGUCUAUCUUCCUCUCUCACAUUCUCUCCUUCACUCUCUCUCUUCCAGUACCUCUUCUCAGUGACUCAUCUUCCACUCAUUGUGCAGGAUAACAGAAUAGCC